rnacentral:rRNA from 1 species
UGGGGAAUUUUGGACAAUGGGCGAAAGCCUGAUCCAGCAAUGCCGCGUGUGUGAAGAAAGCCUUCGGGUUGUAAAGCACUUUUGUCCGGAAAGAAAUCCUUGGCUCUAAUACAGUCGGGGGAUGACGGUACCGGAAGAAUAAGCACCGGCUAACUACGUGCCAGCAGCCGCGGUAAUACGUAGGGUGCAAGCGUUAAUCGGAAUUACUGGGCGUAAAGCGUGCGCAGGCGGUUUGCUAAGACCGAUGUGAAAUCCCCGGGCUCAACCUGGGAACUGCAUUGGUGACUGGCAGGCUAGAGUAUGGCAGAGGGGGGUAGAAUUCCACGUGUAGCAGUGAAAUGCGUAGAGAUGUGGAGGAAUACCGAUGGCGAAGGCAGCCCCCUGGGCCAAUACUGACGCUCAUGCACGAAAGCGUGGGGAGCAAACAGGAUUAGAUACCCUGGUAGUCCACGCCCUAAACGAUGUCAACUAGUUGUUGGGGAUUCAUUUCCUUAGUAACGUAGCUAACGCGUGAAGUUGACCGCCUGGGGAGUACGGUCGCAAGAUUAAAACUUAAAGGAAUUGAC